GGGAGUGUAGCCUAAUGGAUGAGGCAACCGUCUUCUAAACGGUUUCAUGUGGGUUCAAGUCCUACCACUCCUGC
rnacentral:tRNA from 1 species